rnacentral:rRNA from 1 species
CCUACGGGAGGCAGCAGUGGGGAAUAUUGCACAAUGGGGGAAACCCUGAUGCAGCGACGCCGCGUGAGUGAAGAAGGCUUUCGGUACGUAAAGCUCUAUCAGCAGGGAAGAAAAUGACGGUACCUGACCAAGAAGCCCCGGCUAACUACGUGCCAGCAGCCGCGGUAAUACGUAGGGGGCAAGCGUUAUCCGGAUUUACUGGGGGUAAAGGGUGCGUAGGCGGUAGUGGAAGUCUGGAGUGGAAUGCCGGGGCCCAACCCCCGAACUGCUUUGGAAACUGUGGAGCUGGAGUGCAGGAGAGGUAAGCGGAAUUCCUAGUGUAGCGGUGAAAUGCGUAGAUAUUAGGAGGAACACCAGUGGCGAAGGCGGCUUACUGGACUGUAACUGACGUUGAGGCUCGAAAGCGUGGGGAGCAAACAGGAUUAGAUACCCGGGUAGUC